GAAAGGCGAAACGUAAUGUGAAUCGCAACUAACAGUGAAUCAUCGAAUCUUUGAACGCAGGCCGCGCCUUGCAUAUCACUUGUGUUAUCGCAAGGCAUCUACGUAUGAGUGUCAGCCUAUCAUCCUUUUGGUUUAAUAAUAAUAUUAUUUAUUAUUGAAUCCAUUAUGCGAGUAUCAUUUAUUUGAUACACGCGUUUAACAAAGUUUGUGUCUGGCCUCAUAUGUGGAAGGUUACCCGCUGGAUUUAAGCAUAUCAAUAAGCGGAGGA
rnacentral:misc_RNA from 1 species